rnacentral:tRNA from 1 species
GGGUCGGUGCCCGAGUGGUUAAUGGGGGUGGUUUGUAACACCAUUGGUUAUCCUACGCUGGUUCGAAUCCAGCUCGGCCCA